CGGGGUUAGUGGCGGACGGGUGAGUAACACGUGGGAACGUACCCUUAGGUUCGGAACAACACAGGGAAACUUGUGCUAAUACCGAAUGUGCCCUUCGGGGGAAAGAUUUAUCGCCUUUGGAGCGGCCCGCGUCUGAUUAGCUUGUUGGUGAGGUAAAGGCUCACCAAGGCUACGAUCAGUAGCUGGUCUGAGAGGAUGAUCAGCCACACUGGGACUGAGACACGGCCCAGACUCCUACGGGAGGCAGCAGUGGGGAAUCUUGCGCAAUGGGCGAAAGCCUGACGCAGCCAUGCCGCGUGAAUGAUGAAGGUCUUAGGAUUGUAAAAUUCUUUCACCGGGGAAGAUAAUGACGGUACCCGGAGAAGAAGCCCCGGCUAACUUCGUGCCAGCAGCCGCGGUAAUACGAAGAGGGCUAGCGUUGCUCGGAUUUACUGGGCGUAAAGGGCGCGUAGGCGGACAGUUUAGUCAGAGGUGAAAGCCCGGGGCUCAACCUCGGAAUUGCCUUUGAUACUGGCUGUCUUGAGUGCGGGAGAGGUGUGUGGAACUCCGAGUGUAGAGGUGAAAUUCGUAGAUAUUCGGAAGAACACCAGUGGCGAAGGCGACACACUGGCCCGUUACUGACGCUGAGGCGCGAAAGCGUGGGGAGCAAACAGGAUUAGAUACCCUGGUAGUCCACGCCGUAAACGAUGAUUGCUAGUUGUCGGCACGCAUGCGUGUCGGUGACGCAGCUAACGCAUUAAGCAAUCCGCCUGGGGAGUACGGUCGCAAGA
rnacentral:rRNA from 1 species